GCGGGGAUAACUCAGUUGGGAGAGCGUCAGACUGAAGAUCUGAAGGUCGCGUGUUCGAUUGACGCUCACCGCA
rnacentral:tRNA from 1 species